rnacentral:lncRNA from 1 species
GAUCAGUUUCAGCCAGUCUUCGAGUGGCCACAAGUAAAAGUAAAGAUCCUACUGGAAAGAGGUGACACUGCUCCCUGACACCUUAGCUUUGCCUUGCUCAAUCAGCUUCCCGUCUCUGGAUGCAAUCCGUCAUUGCUUGGCAAGUGUGACUGUUGCACUAGAGCAUGGUUAACUCUGGUCCUCAUUAAGGCUUUGACUUUACUGUUGCCUAUAUUAAGUUUUAUCUAAUGAAUUAAAUCCUACCUUGUACAACUCAAGAAAGUCCACAUCAAGUUCAUAUUUCUUGUUUCCUUGAAAAUCUGGUCAUGGCAUCAUCAUUGUGCCUUUUUUCUUAUGGCAUCAAUGACAACUGCCAGUUCAGCCUGAGUCACAGCUGGCUCUCCAGCAGGUCACAUGGUCACCCCACAGACACAUCCCUUGUCACUUCACACCCAGACUGCUUCUCUUCUGUCUACUCAACUGGCCUUCUCAUGCUGCCCUGGAACUGACUCAAACUCUCUUUUCUGCUUUUUAAAUUUUUGAAACUUUUCUUCAACGUGCCCAUAUCCCAUUCUGCUAAAUGGAAAUCUUUUUAAAUUGGGGAAUCCUACCUUUGUUCUCUCAAAUCCAACCAGCUUCUGUUAUAUGUAACACUUUCCCUCUUUCUCAUGUCUACUUAGGAUUCUGCAAGUUGGUGAACAGCAGCUUCUGGAGUGAGCCUCUCAAGUCUCUGCCGACCAAUGGAGACCACGCUAGAUGCUGUCUGCAGUUGGGGUGAGAAGAAAGCAGAGGCAGCAGGUGUGGUCCAGCAGGGAUCUAAGAGGCCAAUGGAAACCAACUAAACACAAAACUAAACAGUAAACCAAUAAGACAACUACUAACUGUGACAAAAACCAGGAAGAAACACAAGUUCUCAGAUUGUAUGAAUGACUGCAACCUGUUGUAGAAAGGGAAGCCAGCCAAGGAAGAAAAGGGGUUCGCAAACAUCUCUAUUGUCUUCUCACAAACCCAGAAGCACCAGCCAAAACACUGACCAAGCCCUUUCCCACUUAAAAGAACCAAUCGAUCUUCAUGCUCAGGGUCCCAAGCCAUCAACUUCGACCCUAUCAAAGUCUUCCUGUCUGUGGAAUUUUAGCAAAACUUUUCUCCCAGAGACAAGUGAUAUAGCAUUGCUUGUGAAGACCUCUGACAAAUACAAAGUAAGUGGGGUGUUAUUUUUGCUCUUAUUUUAUAUUUAAGGCCACUUGAGACAAAGAG